rnacentral:rRNA from 1 species
CCUACGGGAGGCAGCAGUGAGGAAUAUUGGUCAAUGGACGAGAGUCUGAACCAGCCAAGUAGCGUGAAGGAUGACUGCCCUAUGGGUUGUAAACUUCUUUUAUAUGGGAAUAAAACGUUCCACGUGUGGGAUUUUGUAUGUACCAUAUGAAUAAGAAUCGGCUAACUCCGUGCCAGCAGCCGCGGUAAUACGGAGGAUCCGAGCGUUAUCCGGAUUUAUUGGGUUUAAAGGGAGCGUAGGUGGAUUGUUAAGUCAGUUGUGAAAGUUUGCGGCUCAACCGUAAAAUUGCAGUUGAAACUGGCAGUCUUGAGUACAGUAGAGGUGGGCGGAAUUCGUGGUGUAGCGGUGAAAUGCUUAGAUAUCACGAAGAACACCGAUUGCGAAGGCAGUUCACUGGACUGCAACUGACACUGAGGCUCGAAAGUGUGGGUAUCAAACAGGAUUAGAUACCCCAGUAGUC